ensembl:misc_RNA 7SK 7SK RNA
GGAUGUGAGGGAGAUCUGGCUGCGACAUCUGUCACCCCAUUGAUCGCCAGGGUGGAUUCGGCUGAUCUGGCUAGUUAGGCGGGUGUCCCCUUCCUCCCUCGAUGUUCCAUGUGUGUCCCUCCCGAAGCUGUGCGCUCAGUGGAAGAGGGCGGCCUUCCCCGAAUAGAGACAGACCGGUCUUUGGUUGAGGGUAUACGAGUAGCUGCGCUCCCCUGCUAAAACUUCAAACAAGCUCUCAAGGUCCAUAGAAACACAAAGGAUUGUGAAAAGAUACUAUGGAAACUCACAUACCAACAGAUUAGAU